rnacentral:rRNA from 1 species
GAUGAACGCUGGCGGCGUGCUUAACACAUGCAAGUCGAACGAAGCACCUUCAACCGAUUUCUUCGGAAUGAAGUUGAUUGUGACUGAGUGGCGGACGGGUGAGUAACGCGUGGGUAACCUGCCUCAUACAGGGGGAUAACAGUUAGAAAUGACUGCUAAUACCGCAUAUGCGCACAGUACCGCAUGGUACAGUGUGGAAAACUCCGGUGGUAUGAGAUGGACCCGCGUCUGAUUAGGUAGUUGGUGGGUAACGGCCUACCAAGCCGACGAUCAGUAGCCGACCUGAGAGGGUGACCGGCCACAUUGGGACUGAGACACGGGCCCAAACUCCUACGGGAGGCAGCAGUGGGGAAUAUUGCACAAUGGGCGAAAGCCUGAUGCAGCGACGCCGCGUGAAGGAUGAAGUAUUUCGGUAUGUAAACUUCUAUCAGCAGGGAAG